AUGGUUCGAGAGGAGGUAGCAGGAUCCACUCAAACACUACAGUGGAAGUGUGUUGAAUCAAGAGUAGAUAGUAAGCGCCUUUAUUAUGGUCGUUUCAUUCUGUCCCCGCUUAGAAAAGGUCAAGGGAUCCUUUUCCUCGUUCGAGAGUCUCCGCCCUUCUUCCACUCCGUCCCGAAGACUAACUAA
rnacentral:rRNA from 1 species